AUGGCGCGCAGCUGAGAUGUAUAUUUACAUCGCGAAGUGUUGUACUCCCUCCGUUCCUAAAUAUAAGUCUUUUUAGACAUUUCACUAGGUGACUACAUACGGAGCAAAAUGAGUGAAUCUAAACUCUAAAUAUGUCUAUAUACAUCCGUAUGUAGUUCUCUAGUGAAACCUCUAAAAAGACUUAUAUUUAGGAACGGAGGGAGUACUUUACAUCUUCAGGAGACAGACAUGUAGUCACGAAAGAUUACUGCAGCCGUAAGGCACGGCAUCAAUGUGGCACAUAAGGCAACAGGUGGAGAGGGCUGUGGCUGUGACUAGCUCAAGCUUUGAUCUCUGAGCGCGUGCACAUGGAUGGCUGCUGGGCGAAAAUCCUAGACUUACGGACAACAGGUCAGGGAAGGAGCAUACGGGAUUACGUGUCCCCGUGCUAAUCUCCCUCCACCCCCUGAUUUCAACCGUGGGACCAUCUGAUUUUCAAUCAACAGUUGCCAUGUCAGCCUGUAGGUUCUAGUCGGUAAAUUUGAGCUCAUAGUGGGAGUAACUUAGGUAGUAACAUAGCACGUCUCGAGAAUUUUUUGCUUAUGUGGCAAGUAGUUAAUGAGAAGUAGUAAUAUAAUACUCCCUCUGUAAACUAAUAUAAGAGUGUUUACAUCACUAAAAUAGUAAUCUAAAUGCUCUUAUAUUAGUUUACGGAGGGAGUAUGUUAUUGUAACAUAGCGCUUUUCAAGACAACAUGAGUCUACAAGUUAUUAAAUAAGGUCACAUAUAACACUAGUACUAUGCUAUUUUGCACUAUGAAAAUAGUAACUUAGACUAUUAUCAUGCAUAUGACACUAGUCUAAGUUGCUCGCUGCUGGGUGGGAAUUGAAUCGGGGAAAGGAGAUGAGAGGAAGAGCAUUCCCUGCUUGCCUCACUGAUUGCCGCCGUACGAGGAUGGAACCGGAGGAGAAAGGAGUGGACGGGUAUCACGCACGCGCGCGCGUACACAGUCCAUAUCGUCGGAAUCGUAUUCCCCGUGCUCCCACUCGAUCGGCCUCCUCUUUAUCUUCGCCCUCUCCCGCGCCUCCAUUCUUCACCAACACACACGGCCCGGCCCUUCCUCGUGAAGCAGAGUCCGUCGCCUCGUCUCAUACAGUCCCAGGCCGGUCUCUGCUCUGCUGCCACGCCAUGAUCGGAGACAUCUUCCGGUACAUCGCGGGCGAGGAUGAGGAGGAACAUGCCGAUGAGCUUCCCGACGAGGAGCCGGCGUUUUUGCCGGUUGAACAACCUCACCAUGCGCCUGCAUGCACGGUUCUUCCUCCACAGGUAGUACCAGGAGGACCUGCACCUGUUCGUGCCUUGAUGAGGUCGUUCAACCAGCAAAACGGCGGCCGUCGUUGGUGACGGCGGGGCCUGGCGGUGCCUAAGGCUGUCGGCUUGAGGCACUCGUCAGUGACGACGAUGCUAUUGCAAGCAUAUCUCCUGAAGCAGCUGCCAGCCGGCGUCAGCUCGCGGCGGCGACCCCAUACUCGGCGAAGCUCCUUGCCCUUCACCUCUAGGGCGCGGACGGAGCGCCUCUCCACGGUGUCGCGUGGGGCUGCGGCGUAGCAGUCGGUGACGGGGAAGCGGCUUCCGGAGCGUCGUUGCUCCGGCUCCAAACAUGCGGCCGGCCGCCCUGGCUCGGAGAUGAUAUCCGAGCCUAUUGUUUUCUAUAUUUUGAAUUUCCUGAGGAACGGCUGCAUAUCUUGUAGCGAUCCAUGGCGUUGGCUCUUUCUUUCUCGUCUCAUAAAGUAGACACCAAUGAUUUGCUCUAGUUUGAGCCUAUUGUUCUCUAUAUUUCGAAUUUCCUCAGGAAUGGAUACAAAUCUUGCAACGAUUCAUGGCUUUGACUCUUUCUUUCC